rnacentral:rRNA from 1 species
GACGAACGCUGGCGGCGUGCUUAACACAUGCAAGUCGAACGGAAAGGCCCUGCUUUUGUGGGGUGCUCGAGUGGCGAACGGGUGAGUAACACGUGAGUAACCUGCCCUUGACUUUGGGAUAACUUCAGGAAACUGGGGCUAAUACCGGAUAGGAGCUCCUGCUGCAUGGUGGGGGUUGGAAAGUUUCGGCGGUUGGGGAUGGACUCGCGGCUUAUCAGCUUGUUGGUGGGGUAGUGGCUUACCAAGGCUUUGACGGGUAGCCGGCCUGAGAGGGUGACCGGCAACAUUGGGACUGAGAUACGGCCCAGACUCCUACGGGAGGCAGCAGUGGGGAAUAUUGCACAAUGGGCGGAAGCCUGAGGCAGCAACGCCGCGUGCGGGAUGACGGCCUUCGGGUUGGAAACCGCUUUCGCCUGUGACGAAGCGUGAGUGACGGUAAUGGGGAAAGAAGCACCGGCGAACUACGU